AAUAACAUGGUCAGUACCCGGAGCACAUAUUUAUUUGCCCCGAUCUUCUCCUUUCCAGGUGCUACCCCCAACAGUUAGGGACAUACGCGAGCCGGCGGAGGUCUUUGGCUUUAGCACAGUGAAGAAGUAGAGGUCGUUGCACUUCUUCAAUCAUUUUGUCUUCUUGCUUUGAAGUGAUCCCAUAUCUUUUGAGGUUCGUCACUAUAUAGAUUGAAAUAAAAAACGACGUGGUUUUCCCUGGGUAAAUCCUCACCGUUCAUCUUAGGGCAAAGGUAGUAGAGAAGGAGUUCUUCUUUCAAGGGGCAAAAAUGGUAACCCAGAGGCACACGAUCAUAAGUGUGGGAGCUCUAAGAUUCGUCGUCUUCUUCACUUCUCUUUGUCCCCG
rnacentral:lncRNA from 1 species